rnacentral:rRNA from 1 species
AUUGAACGCUGGCGGAAUGCUUUACACAUGCAAGUCGAGCGGCAGCGCGGGGGCAACCCUGGCGGCGAGCGGCGAACGGGUGAGUAAUACAUCGGAACAUGUCCAGUUGUGGGGGAUAGCCCGGCGAAAGCCGGAUUAAUACCGCAUGAGCUCGAGAGAGGAAAGCGGGGGACCGUAAGGCCUCGCGCGACUGGGUUGGCCGAUGUCCGAUUAGCUAGUUGGUGGGGUAAAGGCCUACCAAGGCGAUGAUCGGUAGCUGGUCUGAGAGGAUGAUCGGCCACACUGGGACUGAGACACGGCCCAGACUCCUACGGGAGGCAGCAGUGGGGAAUUUUGGACAAUGGGGGAAACCCUGAUCCAGCCAUUCCGCGUGAGUGAAGAAGGCCUUCGGGUUGUAAAGCUCUUUUGUCCGGAGCGAAACGGUUAGGGUGAAUAUCCCUGACUACUGACGGUACCGGAAGAAUAAGCACCGGCUAACUACGUGCCAGCCGCCGCCGUAAAAC